AUCUUUUUGUCUCUGUGAUCAUGUCUAGCUCUGGGCUGCUUCAAGGCAGGGGCAAGGCUUUGACAUCAGUCCAAGAAGAACCACCAAGCCCAUAUUUUGUCUGAAGCUGGAUUUGAGCUAAUGGCAAGGGAACAGCUACUAGAAACAUUACCCACUGUGAGGCUGCAGGCUCUUCCCUGCCCCCCCCAUAAGCAGAAGUACUCCUGGGUCUGAUCAGCUACUGUGGACUCUUUGUGCAAUGGGAAGUGGGCCUGCAGGAAAGCCUUGUCUACAGUGGUAGGUUAUGGUGAGUGUUUACAGGAGAAGUGAGCAUUGGGUCCAUUGGUUUCUGCAAAUUGCCUUGCUUCUCCAGAGAGAAAAGUCCUUGAAACCUACGUCUUCCAAAUAGAAGUCACUGUUGGACCCAUGUUUGGAGGUAUUCCAGCCCUCAUGAAGGAUUGAAAGACACAGAUGGGAGCAGAGAGACAGUCUGACGAAAUGCUGUCUGAUGCGGAAGUGUGGAUGAAGCAAAAGUGUGUAGCUGAAUUUCUCCAUGUGGAAAAAUUGCACCCAAUGACAUUCAUCAAUGUUGCUGAAUAUUUAUGGAGACCAAAGAGUGGAUGUGAGCACAGCAAGGAGGUAAAAACACCAGAAAGAGAGAAGGAGGAAAUGAAAAGGAGCAAGAAACAGUGAAGGGAAUACCAAGGUCAGAGGAGGAGCUCCGUGCUGGAGAAGAUGUUCCUGAAGAAACUGCAGUCCAUGAAGAGAGCCCGCACCGGAGCAAGGUAAAAAGUGUAAGGCAAAGAUCAGGAGAGAGACAUUUCUAAACCUCUGUGCUCGAAUCGAAACUGGAUUCUGGAGUGGAGGAGCGAAGUUGGGUAUGGCAGAAGGAGGAAAAAAGGAGUUGUUUCAAUUAUCCUUGUGUCUCACUACCAACAUGGAGCCUCUCAACUCAAGGAAAUCCAGGAAAAGGCAUCCCAGGGAAAAUAUCAGUUAGAGCAUUCACUGAUUACUUGAACAAAGAGAAGGCAUCUGCAUGCUCCCCAAAACUGUUAUCUUUUUGUAGCUUCUCCGUUAGAAAUGACUCAUGGUGGAAGGAAAAUUGAAGAUUUUCUGACAAUGACACCUUUUAGAGGCUGUUUACAGUUAAUUGAACAUGGCUCUAACAACAUCUUACUUAUAGUUGUGUUCUUUCCUCAAAGGAUGUAAACUUGCUUCCAAGUUCCGAUUUCAUUUCAGCUAUAGCACGUAUAGCAUGCUUUCCUAGCUCUAAAUACCAUGGGAAAUUUCGGUCAACUCUUACAGUAGAAGAGGAAUCACAAAGCCUCUUUCCCUAAUUAGCUACUUACUUAUUUGUAGACUAAAGUCUUCUAAAUGUGAACCCAUCUCUUUCUCGGAUUCUUGUUUGGUUUUUUUUUUUUUUUUUCCUGCCAUGGCUUGCAGUACACAGAGAUGUCAUUUAACUUUUCCAUCCUCUUUGACAAUAAAGAGGCUGCAGUGAGGCGGGUAGUGAAUCAAGACAGAUUCUUGCCCAUAAACACUCAUUUUGGAGAGUGAGGAGAGGUCAAGAGAGAAUGUCUCUCUCAUCCAGCAGAUUGUUCCUGCUGGAGUGCCACUUCUAACGUAAAGAAUUCCCCAAGUCUUUACAAGGUACUAUGAAUUAACCUCUAACUCAUUUGUACUCUAGAAUGUUUCCAUCCAUUUAAGCUAUCAAGGGAUUUGCUAUGAUUCUAAUGUGUCAUUACAAAAGUCCUUUAAAAUAUUUCAAUCCUGAUUUAAACUUUAACUCUUCAAAGAACUUUAACUGCACCGUGUAAAUUUAUGAUGACCAUAUGAAAGGUGUCAGGCUCAUGAUAAAAUUCGGAGACAAUCCAGAAAAAAAAAAUUAAUUGGAGUACAAAUUACUCUUCAGUGUUACUAUCUGUUCCCAGACAAAAUAUCUCCAACGUGUCUCCAGGGCAAAUCUGACAGAAGCGCGGCACCCUUCCUCAUGUGUCUGUGCACAUUCUGAAGAUGGUGGUAACCUCCACAAAAUCCUGUAAAGAAUUCACUUAAAGCCUUUCUGCUCUUCAGCAUGAUCUUGUGAAGUUUUGCAAGAUGUGCAGAGUUGUAGUAAGCAUUUGAACAUCAAAUCAUCCUUAGAAAAGCAAGGUUAUUUCCACAGGUCAUGUGGAAACACUGUAUUUUGGGCUUUGUAACUGAAGAAAAAGUUAAUUCUGACUUGAUCCUUAAACUGUUCCCGAUAAACUGAUGAUGUUGGAAAAAUCAUUUAAUAGAAUGUGAGCACGUUUCCCCAAACCUGUUAUUUCUCUCUCAAAUAAAAAUAAUUAUUUUCAUUCUCAUGG
rnacentral:lncRNA from 1 species